rnacentral:rRNA from 1 species
ACGAACGCUGGCGGCGUGCCUAAUACAUGCAAGUAGAACGCUGAAGGAGGAGCUUGCUCUUCUGGAUGAGUUGCGAACGGGUGAGUAACGCGUAGGUAACCUGCCUGGUAGCGGGGGAUAACUAUUGGAAACGAUAGCUAAUACCGCAUAACAGUAGAUGUUGCAUGACAUUUACUUAAAAGGUGCAAUUGCAUCACUACCAGAUGGACCUGCGUUGUAUUAGCUAGUUGGUGGGGUAACGGCUCACCAAGGCGACGAUACAUAGCCGACCUGAGAGGGUGAUCGGCCACACUGGGACUGAGACACGGCCCAGACUCCUACGGGAGGCAGCAGUAGGGAAUCUUCGGCAAUGGACGGAAGUCUGACCGAGCAACGCCGCGUGAGUGAAGAAGGUUUUCGGAUCGUAAAGCUCGGUUGUAAGAGAAGAACGAGUGUGAGAGUGGAAAGUUCACACUGUGACGGUAUCUUACCAGAAAGGGACGGCUAACUACGUG